AAGUCGUAACAAGGUUUCCGUAGGUGAACCUGCGGAAGGAUCAUUAUUGAAACAAAACAUUGUAGAAAGUUUGGAUUCUCUUUAAAACCGAGAUUCAUUCUUUUCUCUCUCACCCCUUGUGCAUUAUGUAGAAACCACAUCGCUUUCCCUGAUUCCGAUCAGGGGACGAUUAAAACAACACCACUUUUUUAAUUACAUCUACUUGAUGUUUAUACUUAUAAAUCAUAACAAAACUUUCAACAACGGAUCUCUUGGCUCUC
rnacentral:misc_RNA from 1 species